GGCUGGUCUGAGUGCAGUGGUGCUUACAACUAAUUGGUCACAACCAAUUACAGAUUUGUUCAUUUUCCACUCCUACUGCUUCAGUUGACUAGCCAAAA
ensembl:misc_RNA Y_RNA Y RNA